CCUACGGGUGGCAGCAGUGGGGAAUAUUGGGCAAUGGGCGCAAGCCUGACCCAGCAACGCCGCGUGAAGGAAGAAGGCUUUCGGGUUGUAAACUUCUUUUGUCAGGGAAGAGUAGAAGACGGUACCUGACGAAUAAGCCACGGCUAAAUACGUGCAAGCAGCCGCGGUAAUACGUAGGUGGCAAGCGGUGUCCGUAUUUACUGGGUGUAAAGGGCGUGUAGCCGGGUUGAAAAGUCAGAUGUGAAAUCGUGCGGCCUAACCGAAGAACUGCAUUUGAAACUGUUGAUCUUGAGUACUGGAGAGGCAGAUGGAAUUCCUAGUGUAGCGGUGAAAUGCGUAGAUAUUAGGAGGAACACCAGUGGCGAAGGCGGUCUGCUGGACAGCAACUGACGGUGAGGCGCGAAAGCGUGGGGAGCAAACAGGAUUAGAUACCCCGAUAGUC
rnacentral:rRNA from 1 species